CCGCUUUUGUGGUUUAGCAAUUGUACUCUGGGCAAAUUGCAUAGUCACAAAAGUGAUC
rnacentral:pre_miRNA from 1 species